rnacentral:rRNA from 1 species
AAUGAACGCUGGCGGCGCGCCUAAUACAUGCAAGUCGAGCGAGAAGACGUAGCAAUACGUUUGUAAAGCGGCGAACGGGUGAGGAAUACAUGGGUAACCUACCCUCGAGUGGGGAAUAACUAGCCGAAAGGUUAGCUAAUACCGCGUACGCUCCUUGGACUUCGGUUCAGGGAGGAAAGCGAUACCGUGGUAUCGCGCUCUUGGUUGGGCUCAUGUCCUAUCAGCUUGUUGGUGAGGAACGGCUCACCAAGGCUUCGACGGGUAGCUGGUCUGAGAGGACGAUCAGCCACACUGGCACUGCGACACGGGCCAGACUCCUACGGGAGGCAGCAGUAAGGAAUAUUGCGCAAUGGGCGAAAGCCUGACGCAGCGACGCCGCGUGGGGGAGUGAAGGUCUUCGGAUUGUAAACCCCUUUCGGGAGGGAAGAUGGAACGAGCAAUCGUUCGGACGGUACCUCCAGAAGCAGCCACGGCUAACUUCGUGCCAGCCGCCGCCGUAAC